UACGUAGGGUGCAAGCGUUGUCCGGAAUUAUUGGGCGUAAAGGGCGCGUAGGCGGCAAUUCAAGUCAGCUGUGAAAUCUCUGGGCUUAACCCAGAACGGCCAGCUGAUACUGCUUUGCUAGAGUGCAGAAGGGGCAAUCGGAAUUCUUGGUGUAGCGGUGAAAUGCGUAGAUAUCAAGAGGAACACCCUGAGGUGAAGACGGGUUGCUGGGCUGACACUGACGCUGAGGCGCGAAAGCCAGGGGAGCAAACGGG
rnacentral:rRNA from 1 species